GGGCCAUAGCUCAAUGGCAGAGCAUCUGCUUUGCAUACAGAAAGUCCUAAGUUCAAUCCCCGGGUUCUCCA